UUCGAGUCGGAUUCUACUAUCCGGUUUUUGAUCGGACUAACCAAACAAAUAUCUAUAUUCGAAUUCCUACAAGGUUACAAUGUCGUACUCAAUCGAGGAAAUUAACAAACCAAAACAGAUUAACAGAAACCUCCAUUUUCCAUCAAUGGCCUCUCCUUCACUCGGUGGUGUAGAAACUCCGAAGAAAACAACAGUAAGCUUCUGGAAGAACGCCAUGAAAAGGAAGCACAACUUCAUCCAAUUUUUCGCCAUGACUGGAAUUCUUCUUAUCAGUAUGCGUUCUCUAGGUCAAAAGUACCGUCUGCAUGACCUUCAAGAAGAUACUACUGCACUUGAAGAUGAACACCGUUCUCUUACCGAUCGUAUGAACCACAUUAAAUCUAGUCUUCGCCAUGAAGCUUCUCUCGAUUCCUCUGGAAUGUUCGCCAAGCGUCUUCGUCUCCUUUUCGGCGAUGAUCAGUAAUAUUUAAUUCAGGUCUUUGGUUUUGGAAUCCACAGCGUUCGUUCUAAUCGUAUGUACUACAUCAAAUCUAUUCUUCGCCGUAUAGCAUCUCUCGAUUCUUCCGGAAUGUUUGCUUCUCGUCUUUGACUCCUGCUGCGAUGAUUAGUAAUGUGUUAUUUUUUCUGAAUUAUCUUAAUGUUGUAGUUUAAUGUUAGGGUUUAGAAAUUAUGCGGCAUUUUGUGCAAUAAUGUAAUCACUAAAUAAGUAUGUUCAGCAAAAUUAUGAUGGAACUAUAUGAAUAUUUUUUUGUUUUGGUUCAACUGUGUCUGCAAAUUGACAUGUUUAGGUGUUAAAUAUUCAGUUAUAGAAUCAUGUUCAUUUUGUGAGUCAUUGUUAUACUACAUUUGAGGCUUAGUAAUCAGCUGCCUCUUGGCUGCUUUUAGUUUCUUGUUUAGUUGUACGCACGCAAUCUAACAUUAAUGUGUAAUCUAACAUUGAUGUGUUAAAGAUGUUCCAUUAGAAUAUGAAAUAACAUGUCCGGAUAUUGGCGUGGUAUUCAGCUCUGACUCUGCCUUCUCCAUCUCUCGACCAAAGAGUUGAGGGUGAGGUGGAGGAGGGCGAUAGGUUAGCUGGUGGGCGACAAGGAUCUUGCCCAGCUGGCCUCGGUUCCUGCUAAAACGAGGGUUAACGAGCUGCUUGCCCUCCAAGCGGAGAUGAAUAUUGGGAUGCAGUACGAGAUCACUACUGCCCUCGGGUUAGAGGUAAUGUAUGUCGAUCUUCGAGCAGCUAAGAAGAGGAUCCACGAGCUAAACGGGAAGUUGAUCGUGAAAAACGAUCAGAUUAUGAACCUGACCCGAGAGAACAAAAGCCUCCACCACUCCCUCGAGGGCAUGCGCGAGAAGUGCCGGUUUCUAAAGGAGGCCGUGCUUGUUCGCGAGAAGCAACUGUCUCUGAAGAAGAAAAUCGCCAAGGAGUGGAUGGAGACCGGCGAGAGCAAGCAGUUCGUGGCCCGGCUGGGGGCCAACACUGUCAGUCAAGGCAUGCGGGUGAAGGAGCUGAUGUUUGAAUAUGCUCAUGAGAAAUUAGGGGCAACUCCUGAUUGGGAGACCUUCUUCAGCGCCACCGAUGCCGAAUACGAUAGGGCAAUUCAUCAGGCCACCGAGAAGCUGAAAGAGAUUGAAGAGGUGGGGCCUGAUGAAGAAGAUGCCGCUGACAGGGAGGCAUGGGAGAAGGUGCUUGCAGGGGAGGUUGAGGCUAGGUUUAGAGAUGUCGACUUUGCUCAUUAUGACAUCUCUAUCCCCUCAAGGCCGGCAACCCCAUCCUCUUCUCCUAUCGCCGCCGUUCCCUUGCUCCCCCCCUCUUCGGAUUCCCCGGCUUCGCCGGCAGCUUCUGGGGGUGAGGGGUUGGCCCUCGAUGAGGAGCAGUUGGAGCCGCUGUUUAGCAUGGAGGAGUUAUUUUCUGAAUGAUUUGUUUAGGUUGUUAGAUUGGUGGACUACGGUCCUCUUGUACCCAUUUUAAAAACAAUUUUUUCGGCCACGGCCUAUUUACAUGACAAUUUAUGUCAGGUUAAUGCCUGUUUUGUUCCAUGCUUUGCCGAAUUCUGGUUUGAAAUUUUCAUCGUUGCUUUUGACUUACUUAGCAACAUAGGGUCCGGAUAGGUAGACAAAGAAGUCAGUCGCUAAAAAUUAAACACUUGAUUACUUGAACUUAAACAUAGAAUUUCUUCAAGUGAUCCGUAUUCCAUGACCUGGGCAGGGGUUUGCCGUUGUCUUCUAACUCGUAAGUUCCCCACCUAAGUACUCGGGCGAUCUUGAAAGGUCCGUCCCAUGUCCUUCCGAGUUUUCCCUUUUCCAUAAUCUUCCCCGUGGCCUCGAUUUUUCUGAGCACGAAGUCACCGGCUAGAAACUCCCUUGGUUUUACUCUUCUGUUAAAUUGCCUCGUCAUUCUUUGUUUUUGUGCGAUGGCUCUGAGGAGGGCGUUCCCUCUUGUUUCCGGGAGUAGGUCGAGGUUGAUCGGCUUAUCCUGAUCAUUGUUGUAUUGAUCGUAAUAAGUUACUCGGGUAGAGGGGAUGCCAACUUAAACCCGGAGGACUGCUUCGGUUCCAAAUACCAGAGAGAAAGGUGUAUGACUAGUGGCUUCUUUGAUAGUUGUUCGACUGGCCCAGAGCACUCCGGGUAGCUCUUCUACCCAAUUAUCACGGCUCCCUUCUAGCUUUUUCUUAAUGCCAUUGAGUAUUAUUUUAUUUUCGAACUCUACUUGCCCAUUCGUCUGGGGGCGGGAGACCGACGUGAACCUGAUUUGUAUGUUAAAACGGCCGCAAUAUUAUUUGGUCUCGGCGCUGUUGAAUUGCGGCCAUUGUCGGAGAUUAUGACUUGUGGGACGCCAUACCUAGUGAUGAUAUUCCUCCAUAUGAACUGGCAUACCUGUUUAUAUUAUAUUGUGCUAAGGGCCUCAGCCUCAAAAUACUUUGUGAAGUAGUCUACGGCAACCAGGACAUAUCUUCGCUGUCCGCUGGCCGGUGGGAAAGGACCGAGAAGGUCAAUUCCCCACCAGUCGAAGGGGAGAACGGCUUACAUCGAGGAAAGAUAAUUGGUGGAUAAUUGGUGGGUCGGCGAGGCACUUCUCCAAAAAAAUGGCACUUUUCACAAGUCUUGACUAACUUUUCAGCGUCGGCCUUGAGACUGGGCCAAUAGUACCCAUUCCUCAGAGUCUUCACGAUCAGGGUCCGUAUCCCUUGAUGUGUCUCACACGCUCCUUCAUGUAUCUCGCGUAGAAUGUAAUUCCCCUCGGUCGGGGUUACGCACUUGAGGAGGGGGUGAGUGUAAGACAUCUUAUACAGCGCUCCAUCAUACCACUCGAACCAUUUCGCCUUUUUCAUGAUGAUCGGCCCUAGCUCAGGGUCCUCUUGUAGCUGUCCGUCUCUCAGAAACACUAUGUAAGGAUCCAUCCAAGAAUCAGUCUGAUUCACUCCCUCGAUGAAGGCGUUGAUGCUAGGGCUUGGUAGUACUUCCCAAAUUAUAUUCUGUGGCUCGUCACUUAUGGCCGAACUUGCCAAUCUUGAUAGGGCAUCGGCCUAUGCAUUCUCAGAUCUAGGUAUAUGGAGAAUUGCAACCGAGUCGAAUUUUGCUACUGCUUCCCGUACCUUGACGAGGUACAUCUUCAUGCUAUCAUCUUUUGCUUCAUAAUCGCCAUUCACAUGUCCGACGAUCAACUGCGAAUAGGUGUGUGCGAUAACUUUUUUCGAACCGGAUGCGAGGCAUAUUCCUAAUCCUAACAGCAGAGCUUCGUAUUCGGCUUCAUUGUUGGUGGCCAUGAAGUUGAAUCGUACCGCAUGUUCGAGCCUAGCACCGUUAGGAGACAUAAUUAAUAGCCCUGCACCUGAACAGGUCCGGCUAGAGGAUCCAUCCACGUAUAAUAUCCAUGCUUCUUCCGAGCGGAUUUCUUCCAUUGAUCCUAUCAUCUAUGCGAUGAAGUCUGCCAGAGCUUGCGCCUUGAUGGCUGUUCUAGGUUCAUAUUCAAUUCCGUAGUCGGCCAUUUGAUUGGCCCAGUCCGCAACACGGGCCGAUUGAUUUUUUCCUUCUAGCAGCUUUCUCAAUGGCUGAGAGGUUCGCACAACAAUGGGUGCGACUAGAAGUAUGGCUUAAGCUUCCGACUGGCCAUGACUAAAGCGAAAAGUGAUUUUUCAACUGGACUAUAGCGGGACUCGGAGCCGUGGAAAGCGUGGCUGAUGUAAUAAAUGGGACAUUGCUGUUUGUGUCUUUCCGCCACCAGUAGCGCACUCAACGAAUAGUCCGAGACGGAUAUAUAGAGAUACAAGGUUUCGUCCGGCAAGGGUGAAACGAGCUUAGGGACUUCGGCAAGGAAUCUCUUCAGCUCAAUAAAAGCUUUUUCGGCCUCUUCAUCCCAUUUGAAAUUGGUUUGCUUCAAAACGCGAAAGAAUGUUGAACAACGGUCAGCUGAUUUUGACAUAAAACGGCUUAAAGCUGCGAUGCAGCCGGUGAGGCGUUGCACCUCCUUGAUAGUUCUAGGAGACUUCAUUGCCAAGAUGGCUUGUAUCUUGUCCGGGUUAGCCUCGAUGCCUCUUUUAUCAACGAGGAAGCCGAGGCAUUUCCCGCCGGUGACCCCAAAAAUAUAUUUCUCCGGAUUAAGGCGCAUUCUGUAGGUGAGGAGGG